GCCAACCUGACGAGUGCACGUAAGAUAGCAAGAGACUUGCGGAAGCUCAAAACCUAAUGUAGGUCUCUUCGGAGCCGAAGCUCAUCCGAUGGUGCGAAGACGAUGAACGAAUCAGCGAGCAGAUUCGAUGACGAACGAAUCGGCCAUCAGAUUCGACGAUGAACGAAUGCGCCAUCAAAUUCGACGAUGAACGAAUUUGCCAGCAGAUUCUUCGUCUUCUACAUCGGCCAUCAGAUUCGACGAUGAACGAAUGCGCCAUCAAAUUCGACGAUGAACGAAUUUGCCAGCAGAUUCUUCGUCUUCUACAUCUUCGGAUUAGGGUUAAGGUUUGGGAUUCUGUUGAUGAAGAAGACGAAGAAUGAAGAACAAUACGUCGAAUGAGGGAGAGGACCGAGCUCCAUGUUACAGUGAUGGGGUAGCGAAGGGUAGGUCUAGGGUUUGAGAGAUGGUCGCGCUUGUUCCGAUUCGCUCAGUCAAUUCUUCGACCUCAACCAAGCAGGUGUUACAAUACAAAGCGAUGUUUCGUUACUUCUUUGGCGCGAUUUUAUGUUUGGGGAUAUUCCUUGCUUAUUCAUCUCAACCGUUCAUGUCCUUUAAAAGAUCUGACGGCUGAUACUAUAUUAAUUGGGGGUGAGCAUCGGAAUCGGAAAACUGAAACACUGAACCGGAUCGCGCCCAUCCCUAAUAUUAAUGAUGGUGUAGAAUAACCUGUCUUUUGA
rnacentral:lncRNA from 1 species